AUAACUAGAUAUUAACCCGCGGUAUACCGCGGGCCUAUAUUUUCAUUAAAUAAAAAAUAAUUGAUUUUUUUUAGGAUGAUUUAUAAAUUUAUGCUAUUGUUUGAUUUAAAUGUAUGAUACACCGCGAGAAAAAAAAUUCUAACUCAAAUUUUAAAGUUUUAAGUUGUAUUUUUUUUAUUUUGUUAAGUGUUUAAUAUUGUAUAUAAAAAUUGUAUUUUGAUUAUUGUUUCUCGGAUUUCACCGUACUACACCAUCCUAUAUUAAUAUCGACUCAAACCCGUCGAUUCUAGGAUUUCACCCGUGGUAGUAUUUAAUUGUAUAAUUAUAUUUUGAUUGUCAUUCUAGGAUUUCACUCCUAGUUCUAUUGCAAAUUAUUAUCAACCCAAACCAGUCAAUUCUAAAAUUUCACCCGUAGUAUAAAGUUUAAAUAUUUAUUAUAUUUAAACUUCUUAUAAAAGAAUCGAAAUGUGUUUU
rnacentral:sRNA from 1 species